UCUCGUAAUUUAACGGGGAUUCUUGUGAUCGAGGCGGUUUGAAACCGCCUAGUUUGAUCAGAGGUUAUUCAAUCCGUCAAAGCAGCAAGGAGUGCUAUCCAUCAGAGCAAAACCCUGGAAUCAAGGGUUAAUCUGGUGGAAGUGGCCCAACAGGAACCAUGGAGUAUGGAAUCUGAUUCUGAGGAAGUCAUUGCGAUACUGGAGGAGUAACUCAACAAAUUUUGGUCUAAUGUCACGAAAAUGCCUUGAAAUGUGCCACAAGAACCAGUGACAUUAUAACAAGGGUGAAACCUGAGAAAAGUAGGAAUGGAUUAUUUUUUCAGAGGUGGCUAAGAGACGUCGAUGGGUGUGAAGGAACUUGU